GCAAAGUUAUCACUAAGUACAUAUCUAGGAUCAACUGAUUGCCGAAGCGGAGGGUCUAUGAAGUUGUUGAUGACGCCUUCCAAUACAUUAAACAUCAUGGUGGGCUGGUUUGGCUCUACAACUCGUCUAUCAUUUGCAGGAGAUUUCCUUGUUGAUGGUGUUGGUUUUGUUGCAGCAGGCAAGGUUGUUGUUGAUGAUGCAGGGCGUGAAGUUCGGCUGGUGGUAGGUCUUGUAGUUGAGUUCUGGGGUUUCUCUUCAAUUCUAACUGAUGAUACAUU
rnacentral:lncRNA from 1 species